AGAGAGAAAGAGGAGAGAGAAAGAGCCAUAACCGAGCCGUCACUGUGUGAACUCUGUGUGUUUUUUCUUCCUUCACAGCAAAAAAAAAUCAACUGAAAUAGAUCUGAAAAUCGAAAAUAUUUAGUGGGUUUCUCUUAUUUUUUCGGUUUUUACAACUUUUUUUCCCGAUGACUAGCAGAGGAGGAGGAAAAAACAGUAACAAUGGUGGAGGAAUUGGAGUACAAUCAAUUCCACCAGGUUCAAGAAAGAUGGUGCAAAGUUUAAAAGAAAUAGUUAAUUGUCCUGAAGCUGAGAUCUAUGCUAUGCUUAAAGAGUGUAACAUGGACCCUAACGAAGCUGUUAAUAGACUUCUUACUCAAG
rnacentral:lncRNA from 1 species